rnacentral:rRNA from 1 species
UACGUAGGGUGCGAGCGUUGCCCGGAUUUAUUGGGCGUAAAGAGCGUGUAGGCGGCCAGGUAGGUCCGCUGUGAAAACUCGAGGCUCAACCUCGAGAUGUCGGCGGAAACCAUCUGGCUAGAGUCCGGAAGAGGAGAGUGGAAUUCCUGGUGUAGCGGUGAAAUGCGCAGAUAUCAGGAAGAACACCCGUGGCGAAGGCGGCUCUCUGGGACGGUACUGACGCUGAGACGCGAAAGCGUGGGGAGCGAACAGG